rnacentral:rRNA from 1 species
CAGUCGCCGCGGGAAUACGUAUGUCCCGAGCGUUAUCCGGAUUUAUUGGGCGUAAAGCGAGCGCAGACGGUUUAUUAAGUCUGAUGUGAAAGCCCGGAGCUCAACUCCGGAAUGGCAUUGGAAACUGGUUAACUUGAGUGCAGUAGAGGUAAGUGGAACUCCAUGUGUAGCGGUGGAAUGCGUAGAUAUAUGGAAGAACACCAGUGGCGAAGGCGGCUUACUGGACUGCAACUGACGUUGAGGCUCGAAAGUGUGGGUAGCAAACAGGAUUAGAUACCCCCGUAGUCCCUGUCUCUUAUAC